rnacentral:rRNA from 1 species
GAUGAACGCUGGCGGCGUGCCUAAUACAUGCAAGUCGGGCGAACAGACGAGGAGCUUGCUCCUCUGACGUUAGCGGCGGACGGGUGAGUAACACGUGGAUAACCUACCUAUAAGACUGGGAUAACUUCGGGAAACCGGAGCUAAUACCGGAUAAUAUAUUGAACCGCAUGGUUCAAUAGUGAAAGACGGUUUUGCUGUCACUUAUAGAUGGAUCCGCGCCGCAUUAGCUAGUUGGUAAGGUAACGGCUUACCACGGCGACGAUGCGUAGCCGACCUGAGAGGGUGAUCGGCCACACUGGAACUGAGACACGGUCCAGACUCCUACGGGAGGCAGCAGUAGGGAAUCUUCCGCAAUGGGCGAAAGCCUGACGGAGCAACGCCGCGUGAGUGAUGAAGGUCUUCGGAUCGUAAAACUCUGUUAUUAGGGAAGAACAAAUGUGUAAGUAACUAUGCACGUCUUGACGGUACCUAAUCAGAAAGCCACGGCUAACUACGUG